UACGUAGGGGGCAAGCGUUGUCCGGAUUUAUUGGGCGUAAAGAGCUCGUAGGCGGUUUGUCGCGUCGGCUGUGAAAACUCGGGGCUCAACCCCGAGCCUGCAGUCGAUACGGGCAGACUAGAGUGCUGUAGGGGAGACUGGAAUUCCUGGUGUAGCGGUGAAAUGCGCAGAUAUCAGGAGGAACACCGGUGGCGAAGGCGGGUCUCUGGGCAGUAACUGACGCUGAGGAGCGAAAGCGUGGGGAGCGAACAGG
rnacentral:rRNA from 1 species